rnacentral:lncRNA from 1 species
UUUUUUUUUCUUUGUUUCUGCUUUAUUUGACUGAAUUCGAUUUCUCUCAUACAUCUCCUUUUUUCCAUAGGAUUAUUCUUUAAUACAAUCAAUGCCUAUGAUUCUCCGUCUCACAAACACUCAAGGAACAACGACAAAUUUUGGCUUCUCAUCUAAACAGUUGCCUUAAAACAAGGGUGAGUUUAAUAUCUUAAUCGAAGCUCAAGUGUUUUUUUAAUGGUAAAUUAAUUCUCAUACUUUUUACUAUUCUUCUUUCAUCUCUUAUUUUACUUCUUUAUAUCUGCAAUUUCUUUUUUGUAUUAAACCGCAAUUGUAUUUUCACGCAAGAUUUUUGUAUUAAUACAAAUACUUCAAUUUUAAAGUCAUCUCUUAUUUUACUUCUUUAUAUCUGCAAUAUCUUUGAUAUUGUUUCAAAGGCAGCGUCUGCGUCAUGUAGUUACUUACUUGUGCAUAUUUUACAUUUUUUUUUAGACUUCCAAGCUUUGGGUGUCAACGAAUGUUUGUAAACUGAAUUACUAAUGAUGAGAAGAAAAACACAUUACAAUUGGUUGGAGCUAAUGAUGAAAUAAGCGGACAUGUAUAUACCCAGCAUAAUUUUCGUACUUAUACUCUCUUAUAUUUCUAAACUCUUGAUUUGUUAGUUACUGUCUAUCGCAAUUGAUUCUUUGGGUAGAAAAGUUGUACCUUCUUUAUAUAUUUUUCUUAAUCUUUGUAUAUUCUUCAGUCAAUGAUAAUAAAUUUGUUGUAUAUUUAUGCUAUCUGCUUUAUUUUAAAAAUCUUAGUUAAGAGUUGUAGCAGAUAUAAUUUAAAACAAUGUUGUCCCUGCAUAGCAGGGCCAAAUGCUAGUCAGUUAGUAUAUUUCAAAAGUUAAUAUCAUUUUCUUGUACUUAACAAAAUUUAUUUUGUUCCAUAAUGAAUGUUCUGUCCAAUUUUGUUUUUAAAACAUUUUAUGUUUUGUUUUUUUAAUACUUCCCAUCGGUUUGAUAUUUGAGGCCCAAGUAUGUGGCGUUUGAAUUAAUGGCUUCUCUAGUCCAUUAUGAAAUUAAGGUCACAACUCAUUUUUUAAGAACAAUUUCCAACCCAUUUCUCCAAAAAGAGAAGAAAAAAAAAAUCAUAAAUUCAAAUUCGGAGUUAAGUUUUUCUUCAAUUCUACUCCAUUUUGCUGUUGAAAAAUGGGUUUAAAUUUUAGUGUAAAUCGAAAAUAAAAAAAAUCUAUAUAAGAUGAAGAUUUCUAUUUUGGAAAUUGGAAAUAGAGAUAGGUUGGAAAAAUCUAACUUUAAACCAUAUUUUGGAGAUGAAUAUGGAGAUAGUUGGAGAUGGUUUUAGCCUCUUAGGCUCUUUUAUUCUUCACCAAUAAUUAGAGUCUAUGCUUCUUGGUGAGAAGGCAUGCUUGGAAUAUAUAAAAACUGAUAUCGUGGAGUUCUCUUAUAUUUUCCUGUAUAAACUAUCUGUGGUCCAUUGGAGUUAGAGCAAAUAUAUAUAUGCAGUCGUACUCAUUCGGACGUAUAGAUUUUGUUUUAUCAAUUUUUAGUUUUAUGAUUUCAAAGAAUUUAACAUGUAGCCUCAAAUAAGUAAUGCUAUAUAAAAUUCAGAUUUGUACACCACAAAACAAGUAGUUUAGAAAUAACUGUAUCUAAAUAAUGUGAUAAUUAUGCAGCUUCUAGUGGGAUCCGGUUACUUAAUUUGAUUCAGUAUAAACCAACCUAUCAUUAUCAAUUACUCCGUUGUGUGUGCAUUUUUUUUCCCUCUGAAUGUCAAGAAUGUGGUCCUCCAUAUGUAGAAGGCACUAGAUAGUCUAUAGUAUUAUCUUAUAUUAUUAUUAAACAAAUCACUAAUCAAAUGUAGUGGUCUACAAUCAAAUACUGGAAAUCAGAAGUUAUGGUCCUUAAUCUUAGUGAUAGAUUUUUACAUUAGUUAAUGUUCUUAAUUUAUGCUUAUUCAUAUUAUACACACACACAUAAGAGGGCUUACACUCGUUCUAAUAUAUACUAAUGCCAUGACUAGAAUAUAGCGGAAGGUAAAAUGUAUAUUUAUGAUUUAUGUGUAUAUUCUGCAAAACCAAGCCAAGAAAAUUUGGAGGGUUUAUUUCUUUUGAGAAAUUGAUCAAAUCGAUAUAUAGUAAUUAUGUACAAUGUACAUCACAAUACAGAUUACAUGUUUACAAAUUCCCACAGACCUAAACUCUGGUCCGAAAUCUUCCCUAUGAAAAAAUAAACAAAACUUAAAACGCUACUAAAAAAAUGGCGAUCAAAGUUGGUGAUCACACUUCCAUCACAUGAUCUUGGACAUAGUCCACCGGAGAUCUACAUUCUUCCGAUGGCCUAGACUCAGCUAUCUUCUCCGCUACUUCGGCCAUUACCAGCCUCGUCAACAAUAGUCCAGCCACAAACGCAGCUCCCAUCAACAUUGUGAAAACCGCGGUCCAGCUACCCCUCGACGAUAUGUAACCCGUUAGUAAGGGUCCGACCGCCGCUCCAACGGAUCCCGUUCCAUCGAUAAUAGCCGUUACCGUAGCCAAAGCUCUCGAGUUUCCUUUCAACGAGCUGUGUGUUCCAAGAUCAGCUGAAACUGCCGUUGUAAUCAAAGCGUAAGGACCGUUAACCAACAUCCCGGUCAAGAACAUGAGAGACGCGUUGGCUAAUAACGAUACAUGUCCGUAGCUACGGUAGAAGAACAAAGCUGGAAUUGAGCAGUACAUGAAACUCGCAGCCGUAAUAGCUCUUGCACCAAUUCGGUCUGAAAUGUAACCAGCCAUGAUUCCACCAACCACACCUCCUACAUCGAACAUUGUCGAAAGAUUUCCCGCUGUUUCGUCCGAUAAAUAUUCGCCUUCAAUCGCUGCAAAAUAUCAUUCAAAAAUUGUAAUCAGUAACGCAACCAAGACAAGUAAUCUAGUGGUUUGUACUCACUCAGUAAUAAUAUACAAAAAAAUUACCUGUAUGGCUAACGUAAAAUGGGAGCCAGUAGAGGAAAGUGUAAGCGACCAACUUAGCAAAGAAGAGACAGAGCGCGAAAGGCGCAACUCCGGGAAUCCUCCACGCUUCAAUGAAUCCAACAGCUCGUUUCUUGUCAUCGGUUUCCGAAUCCGACGAGCUCAAUAGUAACGGCUCAUUAACAGAGUUUCCGAUUUUCUCAGACGAAGAAUCAAGAACCUCGUCUCGCUCUGCUCCAACAUUCUCUGGACUAACAGGCAAGAAAGCGUAAUUCACCAAACCAAUCACCACAAUGAUAACACCAGGAACAACAAAAGACCAUCCCCAACCAUAUCUCAACAUAGCAGCAGCGAUCAACGAGCCAGUAAUGUUCCCAACAGAAGUAUGAGCAUUCCAUAUCCCCAUGAUCAAACCUCUCUUCUUCUUGUUAAACCAGUUUCCAACAACAGCAACAACCGAUGGCCAACCCGAAGAUUGAAACAAACCAGCUAACAUUUGCAUUAUCAAGAAAUAGUAAAAGCUAUGAAUGUUACCCCAAUAACCAACUCCAAACAGAGAAGUAAACAAUCCAGUUCCUAUCAUUCCAACAGUCAAGAAGAUCCUAAGAUUCAUCCUAUCCCCCAAAUGUCCAGCGAAAUACAUUCCGAAAGCGUAAACCGCAAGAAACGCAACAUCGAUCUCACCGAGCAAAACCGUACCAUCAGGACCAUUGAAAGGAGCCCAACCACCUUCUUCUUUUACAGAGGAACCAAACGAAGUAAAUCUCAAAAGAAGUGAGUUUAGUCCUGUAUCUGGAGAUUGAGGAUCAAGAGCACUUUUGACAAUACUUGUUGUUUUUCUUGCAGCGUGAUAGCUAGCGUAAGCGAGAAACGUCACGAUCAACACUAUGGCUUGAUAAGCACUGUAAGAGAGCUUUGAGCCUUUGAUACGUUCCAAGAAUCGUAUCCCUAUCGGUUUUUUCUCCAUCUCUGGUUCAGAUUGCAUUAGAGAACCCAUCAAAACUUGUUCUUCAGUUCUCGAAAUCCAAUGUUUUGUUUGACCUAAAGAUUGGAGAAAUAAAUAUUAGAUAAAAAAAAAGUAUCAAAAAAGAGUAUAUUCGAAUAUUUCAUAUAGAAUUUUACUUUUUUAACUCUUGGCGUUACAUAAAGGUUACAUCUAGUGAGGAAUCUCUAGAAACGUGUCGGAAUGAGUGACAGAUCGUGAUUUUGUACUUGUGUCUCUUUUAUGAACUCUCAAGAGAAACUAUUUGAAGUGUUUUGAUUAGUUAAAUAACUCAGAUUUUAUUACCUUAAUUUAUUUAUUUUUACUCUAGAUAUUCUUUACCUUUAUAUGAGUUAUGAGUUAUGACCACUAAAUUGGUAUAUUUAAGGAAUAUUCUUUAAACAAAAAAAAUAACAGAGCUUGAAAAUUCAUCAAAUCCUUAAACAGUUUACUCAUGACCUGAUCCAAGUUCAUCUUGAUAAUAUUUGUUGAAAUCAUGCAAGAAAAUAAAACUCAUCCUUUGAAAUAUUCAAAAUUAUAUUAAAUACAGAUUAUAAAACAGAACAGGAUCAACUUAAGAUUCGAAUCUCGAAGAAUGCUAAGAAUAUAAAAGAACCAUCGGGGGACGAUGAAGAAAGAUAUAGAACGAUGAAGACGCAUAUCACGAUUUGAAGAAUUCCUUCGUAAAAUCUGUAAUAAUUACUAGAAUAUUCCAUUGGACAGAACAAAAAUCUCUGAGAAAAUAGAAGAUAACUUGAUACCAAAGAUUUGACUCAAAACCAGAAACAUUCCAAGUUCACUUCAAAGAUAAACAGUAACAACACAACAAAAACUUUAAAACGAAAAAUAAGUUGAAUUAGUACCUUUAGCAAAAAUAACGCUUCCUCCAAAAGAAAUUCUUCGACGAGAUUUUUGACUCUAAAUACUGAGUACUGACGAUUGAGAAAAUGAUAAAAAUUUGGAAAAAAUUGAUGUUUUUCUUUUGCUUUGAAGAUGCAAAAGAUACUUGGACACGUUUUAGGAGCUUGAAGCAACGGCGACGAGUUUAUAGCAUUUGUGCUCAAUAGUCGACCCAAUUAGAAAAUUGUUUUUUUUUAUAUUAUAAAUCUGAAAUUACGAUCUCACCCUUCUAUCAACAAAUCAUAUUCGUCAGAUAUGGAAUUACAGUUUUAACCUUGCUAGUUGCGUCUCUAGUUGUCAAACCACGCCAAUGAACGAAGUCGAACGAUGGUUAUUUCCUACGUAAUAUACCUAAUUAUAUAAUAUGCAUUUUUAAAUAUUAGUUUGCUAGAUUCUUUUUUUCUUAAUUUACUAAAUACUUGUUGAAAUGUUCUAGAUAUACAAUUCAUGUAUGACUUUUAACAUUAUGCAUACUAGAUCUUUCUUAUGCUCAUUAAAAACUAAAUCUUUACAUUUUCUAGAAUUACUAAACUGACAAAUAUAUUUUUCUUUUUCUUUUAUAUUUUAUAAACUUGAAGCUGGAAAUAAAUAUAGCAUUCUACUAUAUGUUUUUCAAAAUUUAAAUUUUCCAUUUCUUUUAUUUCUUUUUUUAAUAUUUUGUAAAUACUAUUUUUGAACCAAAAAACUUGUUUUUUUGAGAACUGUACACUAAAACUGUUGAGAAUUGGUUCAGUUUGAUAUUCAAAUAUUUUAAUUGGUGUACUAAUAAUUCAGGGUCAAGAAUAAUUUAGAAUUUAUGCGUGGUCUACGUUACACGAUGAUUUUUAGUGGAUGAUAAAUAAUAAAAGAAAGAGGUAACAAAUGCACCUAACCAUUUGUUUUACCGUAUAUAAAAAAUUUCGAACUUCAUGAUAAAAACCGGCAUGCAAAGACAGUUAAAAAAAUUUUAUAUACGGUAAAACAAAUGGUUAGGUGCCUUUUAUGCAAAUACUUUUGUACGAAUGCAAAAAUAUCUUUAACAAAAACAAAAAAAAGGACUGUAAAUAUUUUGGAUACGUGGUCCUCACCUCAACCUCGGCCACAUCUACUAAUUUGUACUCUAUUUAGUGUUUUUUUGUAUACUGUAUUAUACUAAAGUCAUUCCUAGGGAUUUGUUAUCGUAAACAAUAAAAUUGUUUUGGGAACUUGAGGACAUAGUAGUUGAUACAAGUGGUUUGGAACAAAAGAAGAAAACAAACACUUUGUAAAUUCAAUCUUAUUGGCUAGAGCUUAGGUGUUAAUUUGGGUUGAAUUUUUAUGAACCCAAUUAUGUGUUAUUGGCAAAUGUGGAUUCCAAAUAUCAAUCCAUAUAUUAAGCAUGUUUAGAUAAUCAACUUCGAUGGGUUCACUAGUUAGAUGGGUCAACUUUCAUAAUCAACUUUCACAAGUUUUAGUUUUUUUUUUUUUUUUUAAUAUAUAUUUCUAUAUGUAUUGUGUAAUGUGUAAACUACACCUUUCCCCCUUUCGUGUAGUAUUCAAGUCCUUUUCUUCUUAUGUGAUAUGUGACAACAAACUUUUAGUAUUCUCAUUUGGAUUAUUGGAUUUGGUAGUCCCAAAACUGAAGAAAAUCAUAAUCAGAAAUUAAUGAGUACUGUUCGUGCAUGAAUUGGGUUUCGCAUUCUUCACGUGCUUUAGAGUAUUUAAGGGAAAUAACAAUUGGAAACUAAAUAAACAACCACCACAGAAAAAAUGUUCAGUAUCAUUUGGGAUCCGGGGUAUACAAUUUGAAGACCCCACAACGCUCAGAUCAGAAAGGGCUCUGAAAGAAAUUAAGUUUUGGAAACAACUACAUUACAUAAAGUAAUAUGUGGAUGUGGUGUGGUGAAUGCAAGUUUCUCAUGGAUUAGCGCAUGGGGCUUUCACAUUUUGUCAUCAAUAAUUCUUAUUAUUAAUUUGAUCAAUGUGGUUGAUAAAAUAUUUGUCAACGUGGAUAGUACAUAAUUUGCCUCUACGGUCAAAGUAGAUAUACGAUUUUAGAAAAAUAAAAGUAUUUGUAUGAGUAUAUAUGUCAAUGUUUAGGUCGUUAUCACCGAUUAUUAAUACGGGACCGCGUAGAUACGUUAAAAUCUUUUCCACUGUCUAUUUGGUCGGCAUUUAAUUAUCAAGUGUGAGAUCUUGUUUUAGGUAAAAAAAUAUGACGAUAACUAAAGUUUGUGUCGACGUUUUUUUUAAAAAAACUACAUUAUUUACGAUGGUUAUAUGGAAGUCUCAAACUAAAAGCUAAGACAAAUUGGUUGGGCCAAAAAAUUAUUUUAGUAAUUUUUUUAUAUUCUCUUAUAUCUCAAAUUCGAGCCAAAUGAUUAGCAUGUGUUUUCUUUACAUACCUUUAAUGCUUUCGAAAUGUAAAAUUUCAGUGAUAUUUUUUUGGUGAGUUUUUUUCCUCUAGUAAAGAGAAACUCUUUCGAUAGAAAAACUCUAAGCUAGUUAAAAUACGAAGCACUUAUUUUAAUGUCCAAAGGCUAUUCAUUCUUCUCCUGUUUAAAUGCUUUGUUUUCUUGUCUAAAUCUUAUACGUGCACAUAACAACACUUUGUUCAAUUACCUAUAUAUGCGCAUUAAUGCUUGUUUCACAAAAGAAACAUAGUUUGGUUUAUUAUGCCUUGACGGUCGUACUCGUAUUUUCAAUACUUAUUUUGAAUAUAGUAAUAGAACUUGCGUAUCGGCGAAAACCAAGGAGGAAAGCGCUACCAUGUUCGGUGACGAACCAUUAUUCUAGACUCUGCCUUUAAAUUUCUUAUACACAAGAAAAGAAAAUCUUUUUUUUGUCUUAGCUCAUCCGAUCCCUUUCGGUUACUUGAUUCAAUUGUAGGAUUUUCGUUCUAUAAAAAAAUAUAUUACCGUUUUGGUAAUAUGUAGCCUAUUGUAUAUAUAUAUAUAUAUCUAUAAAAAAAAUUUGUGUUACUAUCUAAAUUCAAAUCUGGUAGAAAAAGUAUAUAUACAUAUAUAUAUAUAGUUAUUGUGUUAAUACUAUUUUCAUAUAAGUAUAUUUCUUAGUUUUUGUUAAAAUUUAUGAAAAGUUUUUUUCGUGAUCAAAAGUGGCUUAGAGUAAAUCACAUUUUAACAAUGAAAACAUCAAUUAAUCAUUUAAAUUAAGAGUGUCCAUUGAAUACGUUUCCAAUAGUAAAAAUACCUGAUCAUUCACAAAUUAUCAGUGGCGGACAAAUAAUCUAAAUAUUUAGUUUGAACUUUGAUGUAAGAGGUCUUUAUCAAAGAAAAAACUUUAAUGUACGUCUGUUAUAAAACAAUGGGAAUUCAAAUUGGAAAAAUAUUAUCCCUAAAAGUUUUGAUGAAUAUAUAUAAGUUACUUUUAGAAUAUGGAUAUGGUAGGAUGUGAUCAUCGCAUGAUGUACUGGGAGCUGCAAAACGCCAUCCAAACCAGCACUCAUGGGCAUGGCCGCCCACGUGCCACGCCGUUCUUCAACUCUGACGACUCUGAAACUUCUCAAAAUCAUGGAACUACACAAAGUUGGUGUGAUAAGGGCAUUUUAGUCAACACAACGAGUUCUCAUCUUGGCCCACACACAUUACCUCAGAAGUUUUGGAAAACAUAAGAAGGGUAGUUACGUAAGUUUAGAGGUCAUUAUGGAGGGAAAUGGCAUAUUCGCAUAUACCGAAGGAUUAUACUUAACGUGCAGUGGAUAUUCUAUCAACUUGUCCGGGCCCAUAUUGGGGCCCAUUUGGUGCCACGUUUUUUGUACGGAACCGCCCGACGUGGUAAUAAUUGUGGAUGUUGUUCUUUAACAGGAUCGAUCCUUUGAUGACGAGGCGACCAAUUGUCUUGAAUUGAUUCUAGCCUUGGGUUCGAACCGACGUGGUGUUAUUUGAUUAUUAUAUUUGGUUUCAGUGUCAUACACUCUACACGAGCCUCCAUUUCAAAUUUAAUAACAAAUCUUUGUUAGGUCAUAUUGUCUAGCUAAUAUAACAAUGCGACUAGCAGAAUGUAUGUACUACAUAAUCAGAUUUUAUAUAUUCUUGAUAAUCUCUUACAGAUUUUUUAUAACAACUGAUUAUAUGUAAUAUAUGAGUUUAGUGUCAAAGAAAAUUAUGAUAAUAUUUUUAGAAUCUUGAAAAAUUAAUAACAAGUUAUUUACGUAUGGCUGUGGCUGCUUCAUUAGUCAUUACGUUAGUCUUUUGAAAUUUUCAUGACCACAAGAAAAUAUUUCUUCCGGUUUUGAGAUUUUUCGUAACAAACAAAAUUGAAUAAUCGAUGUACAUCACUAACUUCUACGUGGCUUGUGACCAAGACAAAUGACUGUAUAAAGAAAAGAAGUCGUCGUUAGGGGGAACUCAUUUUUUAUAUUUCUAGGGCUGAUAUUUGAUUUGACAAAAAAUAUUGUCCAAUUAUAUGAAAAAGUAUUACUUAACAAUUCUUCUAACCAUUAUAAUGAAAACAUUUCUAGGGCUGAUAUUUUAGUUUUUUGUAAGAAAAUCAUGAAAUGCAUUUUGUUUUGUUUGUUUUAUUACAUGGGCCAAGAUAUGAACUCUCAAUUUCCAAAUACAGAGACAGCUGAAGAUCAAAGGAUAAGGAGUAUUUUCUUUUUCUGUAUACGUUUCUUGGUUUCAUAUGAACAAAAUUGAUUAUGAGAAAAAGAAACAACCAUUAGAAAUAUUUAUUUUAUCUAGCUAUCUUCAAUUAUUUUGCCUAACUUGAUGUGUCCUUUAGGCUUUAAAAAAAAAACUUGAUGUGUCCUUUUAAGUGACACAUCAAUGAACCAUAUGUAUAGUCUCUUGUUGUUUUAUAAAGAUCGAUUGAAUUUGAUUUUCCUCUCUAUCUAUACGUUUUUGUUUGUUUAAAAAUGUCAAAAAUUUGGGUAUCCAGGAUGUUCGAACGCAGGACACGUAUGAAGUGACGUCUUUCACCGCCGUAAAUCUUUGGAUUGACAGUCCGGUAAAAACAGAUUAAUAGCUUGAUAGUCCAAAACGCACGUAUAAAAGUUUUUGCAUGUUGAAAAUAUUCGUAUCCACACAACAUUAGAGAUCAAUCAUGAAACCGAUAUAUUGAAGGUCACCCGACGUCAAAUUUCCCCUGAAAGGGACACCUCAAAAUUACGUGGUUCGUGUAAUCUUUUUUCCUUUAAGAUAGGGAUCGGAUUAUGCAGUAUAAAAUUAAGCAAAUCGUAUUUGGUGAUAUAUCGGUUCUAAUGCAUAACAUCUUUUAUAUUCACACAAUGAAAUAGCUAUUUGUUUUCAGUUUCGAGCUAAAGCCCAAGCUCCAGCCCAAAUCAAACCCAUUUGUACAAAGAACCUCACUCAUCUAUUUGUGCACAAAUUCUCGGAUUUCUCCAACGCUCUCAAUCAUUUUAUAAAAAUUAGAAUUAUCUUCAAUCUCGAUAUACGAACCUAAAUAAUUGAAAACAUUUUUUUUCUUUUUAUGUAUUUUUCUUUUUUAUCAAAUUUCUUUUUAUGUAUAUAAAAUAUUUGUGAAAGUUUCUUCCACACAUAUAAAAGAUUAAAUUUCUUUUUUUAUCCCAAGCUUGAAUAUCAAAACAUGAGACAACAAGAGCAAGUAUUAGCCACCACAAAGCAAUCAUCUUAAAACUCAAACCCCAAAACAAACAAAAGACAAAACCCGAUUGUUUCGAGCACAAACGUCACUUGUGGUUUACAUCGUCUUCAUCAUCUCCAUAACUUCAUAUCUCCUCUCCUUCCGCUGCCACCGUUAGCGAUGUCUUUGGACACUGUGGACAAACUGGUGGUGUUCUUGGCCAAGAGAGACGGAAUAGACAAGCUUGUGAAGACAUUCCAAUACGUGGCCAAGCUCGCGUGCUGGCAUGUUGAAGCCACACGACCCGAAGCCGCCGAUAGGUUCAAGAAGUGGGAGGUCGCCUCCGGUCUCAGCCGCAAAGCCUUCAGGUCCCACAUCUUUUUAAUAUUAAUCACUUUAUCGACAAAGUGGCAUCAUCGUAAAUAUAGUUUAAUAGAUGAAAUGAAAUGAAAUGUUUUAGUCACUUCUUGAUUAAUAUCUUAUCUCAUCUAGCAUAUUUGAAUAGUGACUAGUACGAUACACUUUAUAUUACAAGAAAAAUAUAAUUGAAUAGUGAUUAUGGUCGAAUUAUGCGAACAGGACCGGGAGAUCUCUCACGGGGUUCAAUGCGCUGAGACGAAACCCCGGGGCAACCCCGAUGAUCCGUUUCUUGGCGGUCCUAGCCAAUUCAGGGGAAAUGGUUUACUUCUUCUUUGAUCAUUUUCUUUGGUUAUCAAGAAUUGGUUCAAUAGACGCCAAGCUCGCCAAGAAAAUGAGUUUCAUAUCCGCUUUUGGCGAAUCUUUCGGCUACACUUUCUUCAUCAUCAUUGAUUGCAUCUUCAUAAAGCAAAGACUCAAAUCCUUAAAAAAGCUCCAGCAUUCGACCGAUGAACCGAAAGAAGAAAUCGGCGCCAAAAUUAGCGAGAUUCGGGGAGAUAUAGUAAUGAGGUUGAUGGGAAUUUCAGCCAACGUUGCGGAUUUACUUAUAGCAUUGGCAGAAAUUCACCCAAACCCCUUUUGUAACCACACCAUUACACUCGGUAUAAGCGGUUUAGUUUCAGCUUGGGCCGGUUGGUAUAGGAACUGGCCAUCGUGAGAUGUAAUAAAAUCAAAUGUUUGUUGUUUUGAAUGAACGUAUCAAACGUGUAAUGUAACUCACUUGAAUAUAUGAAACAUUUCUAUUUUACAUUAUCUAUAGUCAAAUCGAAAUCAAACAAAACUAAGGGUAUACAAAAGUAUAAUCCACAUACGUGGGGGACAUUUAUGAAAUUCAUAAAACUUGGUAACUGUAAAAUAGUAACUUCCCACUCUCUCACCCUCUUCACUGGGACGGUUAUUUUUUUUUUUAAAUUCAUUUGCAUCAAAAGUCGUUACCUUCCAGUAAUAUUUAUAGAUUUAUAACGAUGCAAUACUCACUAAAGAAACAGAAACAGAGAUAAUUUUUUCGAAAGAAAUUGAUGAGAAGAAUGAUUCCAACAUCGUUUUCAAGUAAGUUUCAAGGAGUACUAAGUAUGAAUGCGUUGAGAUGUUAUGUAUCAGAGUUUAUCUCAACCUUCUUCUUCGUCCUCGCAGCCGUUGGUUCUGUCAUGUCUUCAAGUAAUUACUCUGUUUCUUGAUGAGUUUGAUCCUUUUUUGCAAUAAGAAGAAAUUGUUAACCUGUGUUUUUUCUUAUCAGGGAAAUUGAUGGCUGGUGAUGUGUCUGGUCCGUUUGGUGUUUUAAUACCGGCGAUUGCUAAUGCGUUGGCGUUAUCAUCGUCAGUUUACAUCUCUUGGAACGUCUCUGGUGGUCAUGUGAAUCCAGCGGUUACGUUUGCGAUGGCUGUUGCUGGUCGGAUUAGCGUUCCAACCGCUAUGUUUUAUUGGACUUCUCAGAUGAUUGCCUCUGUUAUGGCUUGCCUUGUUCUUAAAGUAACCGUCAUGGAACAGGUAAUCAAACAUAUUUACUUUUUGUCUGAUUUUGUGUGCUUCGUUUUGUUUGGUUAUUCUGAUUAGUGUGUUUGAAUUUAUCAGCACGUACCGAUUUAUAAGAUUGCUGGAGAAAUGACUGGAUUUGGAGCAUCUGUUCUUGAAGGUGUUUUAGCUUUCGUCUUGGUUUAUACUGUGUUCACGGCUAGCGAUCCCAGACGUGGGCUACCUUUAGCAGUGGGACCUAUAUUUAUAGGGUUUGUUGCGGGAGCCAAUGUUCUAGCCGCUGGUCCAUUCUCUGGAGGUUCAAUGAAUCCUGCGUGUGCCUUUGGGUCGGCGAUGGUUUACGGAAGCUUUAAGAACCAAGCUGUGUAUUGGGUUGGGCCUCUGCUUGGAGGAGCCACAGCUGCUUUAGUGUAUGAUAACGUGGUGGUCCCUGUAGAAGAUGAUCGUGGUUCAUCUACUGGUGAUGCCAUUGGUGUGUAAUGACUUGUUUAUACUGUUUCAUUUGUUGAAUUGUUGAUGUAGAUCUUUUUUAAUUUUCAGUUUCUGAAAUGUUGUUGACUAGAUGUUUAAUUCCUUGAAUGCUAUGUUACUUAAGUAGAUUUCAUUACAAACAAUUUACUAUUUUGUUACAUAUAACUCUGGUUUGUGAUACUAAGCCGAUAUUUUUGCAUCUAAACAAAAAAAAAUUCAAAAGUACCAUUUGGGUCUUACUUCUUCUUCCUUAUCGGUUAACUCACGAUACUGAUACCAUUCAGUACCUGAAGUACCAAUUGGCAAUGUUGGUCGAAGAAAAACUUCAACUGGUUUUGGCACACUGACACAAAUAUGUAUCUCAUGCUCUGCUUCAUUGAGAUCUCUCGGUUCAGUUCCUCGUGUUUUGCGGAUUGGUUCAAUUGAAAUCCAUCCUAACCCUGAUAUUGCCACAUCACUAGCCGGUCUGAUCAAGAGGUGUGUUAACGUUAGGUGAGGAUCAUUUGUUUUACUAAACAUAGAUGGGAAUGGAAGAUAUAUAUUUCACCUUUUUGCAUCGUUGAUUUCGAUUUGAAGUAACCGGUGAGAUUGUAACCCUUUCCACUCCUGCAUCUGAUUUUUCCCUGAUGGAGGUGUUAGAAGCACACCCAGUUCUUUCUGCAGAACAAAUGAGUAUCAAGUAAAUGGUAAUAAGAAGAUUUAACUUGUCCUUGAAUAAGUAACGAAGUUGAAAAUGAUGGGGAACGGAACUUGCCUCGUAAAAGGCAGUCGCUGUUUUGGUUGGUACUGCAUGAAUCUCAAGAGCUUUUGGUCCAUAGAAUGUGAAACAUGUUUCCGGUAGAGCCUGCAAUAUGUCAAGUAUGUUAAAAAAUUCUGAUAUCCACUGUGAAACUGAAACAUAAUUCUAGUAAUAAUAGUUAUUACCUUCAAGAUGUCAAUCCUAACGAGACCUCCCCAGAAAAAUGUAUAACCGUUUAAGCUCUCACCCUUGGGACUACUUGACGAUUGAGUUGGCAAAGUUGAAAUCUGUAAGGAACAAAAAGCACAGGAAGAUCAUCACACUGGUGUUACGGUAAAAUAAUCUUUACCUGGCCGUAAUAAAGCAGACUUACAUCGAAAGAUUGGCCUCUGAGACGAUUUUGAGGAGCAAGGGCGGGUAAAUCAUCUGAAUGAACGACAGCUGCUUGCCUGUGGUGUAGGUGCACACCCGGUGUGUCAUACAACUUCUGUGGUAAUAAUGUAUUCUUUUAGCAGAAUGUCUACUAUUGCAAUUUUUGGAAAGUUCUAGAAUCUGAUCUUGGUUUAAGUUUAUACCUCUCCUCCGACGAAAGCGUUGAUCUGAAUUGGACCCAAGGUGGUUCCAGGGACAGCAGAUUGAAUUGGUUUGUACUUUUGUGCCGCUGCUGCAACAGGAUCCCUUUCGGCCAUCGUUUCUGUAUGGUGAAGUACAUAUACAAUCAUUCAAACUCUCUUUAUAAAUUGUGGAGAAAUUGGCCAUACUAGAGAUCAGGCUAAAGCAGCACCCAGACCAUAUUCAAGCAGAUACAAACUUCAACAACAAGUGACACAAACACAAUGGAGAACAAAUGACUUACUCAGCAAAGCAUUGAUGAAUGCUGACUUCCCUACGUUAGCUGCACCCUGUGAAAGUAUGAAGAAAUAAUAAAUGAAUAUUUUCUAAACCGUCAAAGAAGUUUCUUUAUAAAUGCAUAGCCUCUAUCUCCAGUAAACGAAUUUAUGAAUUAGUGGAUCAUAUCGAGCAGUGUUGUGUCGAGUUUGUUGUUCUGAUGGACAUCCGAGAAAAUUGAUUUUCACUAAGCACUGCCUCUAUCAUUUAAAGUGUGUUAAGCUAUUAAGUAAAUAGUAAGAACUCGCAUCAGUUAGCAAUAGGUUUACAAACUAAAACUCUAUUUUGUUGGUGACAAAAUUACGAAUGCACAUACCAGAAUGUAGACAUCUCGUCCCUGAAACAAAAACAGGGAUACAGAGGUCAGGUUACAGAAGGUAAAUAAAGAGAAGGUUAUAUUGUCCGACACUGAGCCAUAAUGGAAACAAAAUGUACGCUAAAGAAAACAGCUUUAAGGUGGUGCAAUAUAUAAAAAAAACGCUACCUUUUUCUCCUUCUGGAUCUCUGAUGCAACUCCGCUAACUCCAUCCAGGGACUUUGAACUUGUGAGAUGGACACUCAAGACACUGAAAAGUUAUAUCACACCCAAAUCAAACACUAGCUCCAGAAACAUUACAUCACUUUCUAGCAACAACCAUAGUAGAUAAGUACUUGAUACCUACUUAAGCUUUUUCCUCAUGGUCACUUCCACAACCCAAUCCCCGAUACAAUUCAUAUCCGUUCCUUUUGGAAGAAGAUCAAUCUAACAAUACAAAACACAAUUAUUUACCAUAGUUAGAAAGAAUUGAAGAAGUAGCCAUGUUAUAAAACCUUACCUUAGUUAUAACAAGUAUAAUCGGAUUAGCUCCAACUAAAUCACGAACACGAGCUAAAAAGCUUCCAUUAAAAUCCACUAUAUCAACCUGCAACACAACAAGUUGACGAUCUCUUGGAACAUAAAACAGAAAAGAGAAGUUCAUUCUAACAAUAUCUACUCACCAAUUUAACAAUCAAAGCUUUCUCAUGGCGUAAAUGAGAAAGUUUCUCACGAAGUUCAUCAGCUGAUACAAAUUGUUUCCCACCUGGAUAACCUCCAUUACCACCAACUGCUGUAAUCAUAUGUCCAUGUGACAAUAGCUGACAUCUUCCACAUAUCAUAGUUCUUAACUGGUGAUGCUUCUUCUUCUACAAUAAACACAGAAGAAACCAUCUCUAAUUCAUCAAUCAACUAACUCAAAAUUGAGAUUCUCAAGCUCGAAUUCAUACCAAUUCAUAAGUAACCAAAUCGACAAAUCCCGGAGAAUCGACGUCGGAAGUUUGUAACGGAGCUCCGCAGCCGUAACAACAUGAGACUGAGGUAUCAACAACUUUCCGUGCAAUAAUCUCCUCUUUCUUUUUCUUCUUCUCCUUUUUGAUCUCUUUCUUCACUACUUUCUGAGCUUCAUGAGCUCGUUGGUUCUCCAGGAACCUUUCUCCAGGGGUUGGAGCAGCCGCCGCAAAUCCAUCUCGUUCCGAGAGUGAAACUGGUGGUUCUGAAUUAGCUAUUGAUUUACAGACGAUUGAUGUCGUCGGAUUACGGUAAAUGACGGUGAGAUUGGGUUCACGUCUCGUCGUUGUGUGGCGACGAGGAAGAGAAGGAAACGUUGAGAGUGUUCGUAGCGCCAUUGCUGAGAUUUUUCCUCACCAGCUGUUGUUUGUUGUUAUGUUAUCUAUUAAACCCAGAGAGAGAACAAGAGAGACUCUAACUGGUACAGAGGUUUUACUCGAAAGAAGAACCUCUGGUUGAUUGGAGACGGUUAUAUCCGCCCGGGACAAAAUAACCGGAAUCGAAUACCCGAAAUGAACCGAUCCAAAAUUAGGGUAUAGAUUAGAAAUUCAGUUUCCCGCUCUUUUGCUACCAAAUCUCAGAAGGCCCAAUUUUAAAGAGAAAAUUAUGUUUUUUUAUUUGGUAAAUUGAAAAAAAGAAAAAAGAAAAAUUCAAAUUUGCUUGUAAUAAUCCUCUCAAAGAGAAUUCAGUUAGACGAUUCGUCUCUACUUCUCCUGCAACGGUUAGAUUUUGAAUCUACGCUCUCAAUUUCGGAAGCUUGUUGUGAUACUUCCGUCUGGGUUUCCAUUUCUAGGGUUUAUGGGGUUUAGUUUCUAAAUUAGGGUAAAAUUUGGGGAAGAAGAAGACAACAAAGAUGCAUAUAAAGGAGAUAUGCUUGGAAGGUUUCAAAUCAUACGCAACGAGGACAGUAGUUCCGGGUUUUGACCCGCAUUUCAACGCGAUUACGGGUCUAAACGGAUCCGGAAAAUCCAACAUCCUCGAUUCCAUCUGCUUCGUUCUAGGUAUCACUAAUCUUCAACAAGUUCGAGCUGCUAAUCUACAGGAACUCGUUUACAAGCAAGGACAAGCUGGAAUCACUAGAGCCACUGUUUCAGUUACCUUCGACAAUUCCGAGAGAAAUCGAAGUCCUUUAGGUCAUGAAGAUCAUUCAGAGAUUACAGUAACUAGACAAGUAAGUCUUAUUUAAGGUUUUAGUGAAAAAAGGUUUCGUUUUUAAGUUUUGUUAAGAGUGAAUUUUGUUUGUUUGUGUGUGUUUGAAGAUUGUAGUUGGUGGAAAGAACAAGUAUUUGAUCAAUGGGAAGCUUGCACAACCAAAUCAAGUUCAGAAUCUUUUCCAUUCGGUGCAGCUUAAUGUGAACAAUCCUCAUUUUCUGAUUAUGCAAGGGCGUAUUACCAAAGUUUUAAACAUGAAACCUAUGGAGAUUUUAUCUAUGCUUGAAGAAGCUGCUGGUACGAGAAUGUAUGAGAAUAAGAAAGAGGCUGCGUUAAAGACGUUGGAGAAAAAGCAAACUAAGGUUGAUGAGAUUAAUAAGCUUCUUGAGAAAGAUAUAUUGCCAGCUUUGGAGAAGUUGAGGAGAGAAAAGUCGCAGUAUAUGCAGUGGGCUAAUGGUAAUGCGGAAUUAGAUCGGUUAAAGAGGUUUUGUGUCGCUUUUGAGUAUGUGCAAGCGGAGAAGAUUAGAGAUAAUUCGAUACAUGUUGUUGAAGAAAUGAAGAUAAAAAUGACUGGUAUUGAUGAGCAGACAGAUAAGACACAGGGUGAAAUAUCGGAACUGGAGAAACAGAUUAAAGCUUUGACUCAAGCAAGGGAAGCUAGUAUGGGAGGAGAAGUAAAAGCUUUGUCUGACAAAGUUGAUUCAUUGUCUAAUGAAGUGACACGUGAAUUAUCCAAGCUUACUAAUAUGGAGGACACCCUUCAAGGCGAAGAAAAGAAUGCUGAAAAGGUUACCUGACAGUUAUUACCUUGGGUUGAAAUUGUUACAGAUUCUCAGCUAUUUCUGACAUUUUUUGGUGUUGCUAGAUGGUUCAUAAUAUAGAAGAUUUGAAGAAAUCUGUAGAAGAAAGAGCUUCUGCUCUCAACAAGUGUGACGAAGGAGCAGCAGAACUAAAACAAAAAUUCCAGGAAUUUUCAACCACAUUGGAAGAGUGUGAAAGAGAACACCAGGUAGUUUUAAUAAGUAGAAGCUUUAUUUACUGAACCUAUCUUGUAUGUUAAUUGGGUUUACAUCCCUUGAUAAUUAGGGUAUACUAGCUGGUAAGAGUAGUGGAGAUGAAGAGAAAUGUCUCGAAGAUCAACUACGUGAUGCAAAGAUUUCUGUUGGAACAGCUGAAACGGAGUUGAAGCAGCUGAAUACCAAAAUUAGUCACUGUGAAAAGGAACUAAAAGAGAAAAAGUCUCAGUUAAUGUCAAAACAAGACGAAGCUGUUGCAGUGGAAAAUGAACUUGAUGCUAGAAAAAAUGAUGUAGAAAGUGUAAAAAGGGCAUUUGAUUCUCUUCCAUAUAAAGAGGGUCAGAUGGAAGCAUUGGAGAAGGUUAGUAUGCUUUCCCUAUGAUUUUUUUUCUUUCUUCUUCUGUUACAUAAUGAAUACAUCUGUGACUCAAAUUUUCUUAGGAUCGAGAAUCAGAACUUGAAAUUGGGCACAGGCUGAAAGAUAAAGUGCACGAACUUUCGGCUCAAUUAGCAAAUGUUCAGUUUACAUACCGCGAUCCUGUGAAAAACUUUGAUCGAUCAAAGGUGAAAGGUGUGGUUGCAAAACUGAUAAAAGUGAAUGAUAGGUCCUCAAUGACAGCUUUGGAGGUAAGUAAGUUAUUAUAUUGUUGUUAUAUUAUUAUACUUUGUCAGAUUGUUUGAGUUCUCUAAGGUGACUAUUUUUUCAGGUUACUGCUGGUGGGAAGUUAUUUAAUGUUAUUGUAGACACAGAAGAUACUGGAAAACAGCUCCUUCAAAAGGGUGAUCUUCGGAGAAGAGUUACAAUUAUUCCUCUUAACAAAAUUCAGUCUCACCUAGUUCCACCUAGAGUGCAGCAAGCCACUGUUAAAUUAGUAUGUGGAUCUUUUUUGUUCUACUGUCAAAUUCAACUCUUUCUUUGUUCCUUGCUGAUUUUCUGCUAAUUUCUCCAGGUUGGAAAGGGUAAUGCGGAAUUGGCACUUUCUUUAGUUGGUUAUAGUGAAGAAUUAAAGGUGGGUUGGUUGCCUGCUCAAAGUACCAAGAAUCUGAUACAUUUGCAAUUUUGCAUCAUCUAUUAGUUUAUCAAAUUUCUGAUAACCUUAUAUUAUGCAAUGCAGACAAUUAAAUCCUCUCACUCAUGAGCUGUGUAACUGCUGAUUUUGUGUUUUAGAACAUUUAGUUAUGGACAGACUGAUACCAUGAAUCCAACUAUUCAAUUUCAUUUGACAUUCUCUAACUUUUUGCAGAAUGCCAUGGAAUAUGUUUUUGGUUCCACUUUUGUUUGCAAAACUACUGAUGCGGCUAAGGAAGUAAGUAUUUCCUAGACAUUAGAGUACCCUGUGUUUUUUGAGGUGUGUAGAGCUGUAUUCUAAGCUGGUUAUAUAACAACCUUACUUGACAUGUGUUUUCAGCUGGGCCUUUGUUAUAUUGUCAUCACCUCAAUCUUCUCUCAAAACUUGGACCGGCGAUUUCCCUCUUUAUAUUAAUGGAAUAUGACUCUAGCAAAAUUUAAUUCCUAUAGUUCUCAUAUAUGUUCAUCGUUCUCAAAUAAAUUUUUUUUUUUGCUCAAAAUUUGAUUGGUUUGCAAUUGUCAGACAUAAUUUAUUUUCCGUACUAUCUUCUUCCUUAUAUUGAGACUACUCUGUUUUCUUUAGAUAUUUCAUUCGUUGAUUUGUGUCUCAAAUGGUUGUUCGGCAGGUAGCAUUUAAUAGGGAAAUUCGGACUCCUAGUGUUACACUUGAAGGUGAUGUAUUUCAGCCAAGUGGUCUUCUUACUGGUGGAAGUCGCAAGUAUGUCAUUCUUUCUAUUAGACCAGUAGAUCUUCAUGGCGUUCAUCUUCUUGAUUUCAUAUAGAUAUGGUUCAGCAAGGCCUAUAACCUGACCAAAAACAUUAUAUAUUUUGUAUUCCUCUGUUGCAGGGGUGGAGGUGAUCUGCUAAGACAACUUCAUGAUCUGGCCGAGGCUGAAACAAAAUUUCGAGCACAUCAGAAAAGUUUGUCUGAAAUUGAAGCAAACGUAUAUAUUUCUUCAAUUUUUGAUAUGCUAUUGCUUUCCUUUUAGAAAAAGACACUUUGGCCUUUGACAACUGAAUUAGGCGCCAUAGAAUUUCUACCGAACCAUUUGAAGUAAAACCAUAUACAUUUUCUUCAGGUUAGAAUUAGAUCUGGGUCAUUGGGAACUCGAGGCUCAUGUCUGUUCAUUGGUGAUCUAAAAGAAAAUAUAAUCUUAGCUGCUGAAACUGACACUUUGAACCUUAUUUAGAUGUCUCAUCAUCUUAGAUAGUCAAUCAGUUUGGUUGUUUCUGGUUCAAAUGAAACAUGGUUUAGUUAGUGCCAUUGCAGCAUAUUGAUAUACCAUGUUUAUUUUUCUAGGAUUUAUUGAUAACUCAAUUAUGUUUGUGAAGGCUCCCACAUAAUGUUGUUGUCGACUCUGGGUUCCUACUGCAAGUUAUAUGGUUUUGCAUAAACCCUACAUGUUCUUCAAAUUGCAGAUCAAGGAGCUUCAGCCUCUUCAAACGAAGUUCACAGACAUGAAAGCACAGUUGGAGCUGAAAAUGUAUGACAUGUCCUUAUUUCUAAAAAGGGCUGAACAGAACGAGCACCACAAGGUUUUAUAUUUUUUCUUGUCUUCGUAUCUCCAUUUGUCUACAUCCUUGUAGCUUAAAUUUCCGAAUUAUAUUUUUUCCCUUCCUAUUGGUGCUAAAAGACAUAUUUAUAGUAUCACUCCCUUUUACCAAUUGUAUAUAUAGCUUGGUGACGCAGUGAAGAAACUUGAAGAAGAGGUUGAAGAAAUGAGAUCCCAAAUCAAAGAGAAGGAAGGUCUUUACAAAAGUUGUGCUGAUACUGUCUCCACGCUGGAGAAAUCCAUCAAAGAUCAUGAUAAGAACAGAGAGGGAAGACUCAAGGACUUGGAAAAGAAUAUUAAAACUCUAAAAGCUCGUAUUCAGGCAUCCUCAAAAGAUCUAAAGGUAUCCCAGAUCUUUCAGUCAAAGAUUCUUUUUCUUUGUCCUGGACCCCUGGUUUACCAACUUUUUGCCUUUUACAUUUCUAAAAUGGCUUCAUAGCUUUUGGUCUAUGUUUCUUCUUGCUCAUAGGGUCAUGAAAACGUAAGGGAGAGGCUUGUGAUGGAGCAAGAAGCAGUGACGCAGGAACAGUCAUAUUUAAAGAGCCAGCUAACUUCAUUGAGGACGCAAAUUAGCACUCUGGCUUCAGAUGUGGGCAAUCAACGAGCCAAGGUACUGCAAUUAUUUCUAUCUGUGUCUUUUAACUAUAAAGAAUAUACGAGUAACAUGUGGAUGUGACCCUUCUGCAGGUGGAUGCCAUACAGAAGGAUCAUGAUCAGUCUCUCUCUGAGCUCAAGUUGAUACAUGCAAAGAUGAAGGAAUGUGAUACACAGAUUAGUGGUUCUAUUGCAGAGCAGGAAAAGUGUCUGCAGAAGAUUAGUGACAUGAAGCUUGACAGAAAGAAGUUAGAAAAUGAGGUCUGCCCUCUUCACUUUGUUUGUCUGGAAAUACAUGUGUUAUUUCUUGCAGCGUUCUCCCUAUCUAAUGACAGAUGUCUUGGGUUCACUUAAUUACUUUGACUUUAAUAUUGAAGUAGGACUGGGUGUUGGAUGAUAGAGGUGGAUAUAAGUAUUAGGACUUCCUGGUAAUUCGGCUUAUAAAAAAAUUGAAGAUGUUGUAUACUCAUGGGAGAACAUUUUACUCUGAGUAGGUGACAAGGAUGGAGAUGGAGCACAAGAAUUGUUCAGUGAAGGUAGACAAACUUGUUGAGAAGCAUACAUGGAUUACAUCUGAGAAGCGGCUUUUUGGAAACGGAGGGACAGACUAUGAUUUUGAAUCCCGCGAUCCUCACAAAGCAAGAGAAGAACUUGAAAGACUCCAGACAGAUCAAUCAAGGUAUGUUUCUAAGGAUAGUCAUAGAUUUAAUUUUGCAACUUAUAUAAUAUUCACUCUCAUGCAAUGCAAUAUCAAUGGAAUGUGCUUUAUUUUUCUUUUUUGUUUCUUCUCUUUAAUUAAAUGAGAAAUCUCUCCUCUCGUUUCCUGGCUAUUCAUUCUCUUAUAAAGUCUAGAGAAAAGAGUGAACAAGAAGGUCACGGCUAUGUUUGAGAAAGCUGAAGAUGAAUAUAAUGCUCUUAUGACCAAGAAAAAUAUAAUCGAGGUUAGUUUUGGAGGGUCUGUGCAACAUAGUUUAAAAAGCUUAAAACACAUUUACGAACUAUGUUUUUUUUUUUUUCAUUUUCUUAGACUGACAAAUCAAAAAUCAAGAAAGUUAUUGAGGAGCUUGAUGAGAAGAAAAAAGAAACACUGAAAGUUACAUGGGUUAAAGUUAACCAGUGAGUUGCUUAUUUAGUUUCUUUACUUAACCAUGUGAUUCACUUCUCUUUACGAUAUUUAAAGUUGGAUCCUUAUCGUUAGGGAUUUUGGUUCCAUCUUUUCAACUCUACUACCUGGCACCAUGUCAAAAUUAGAACCUCCAGAGGGAGGUACUUUCCUUGAUGGUCUUGAGGUCCGUGUUGCUUUUGGAGAUGUCUGGAAACAGUCUUUAUCUGAACUAAGUGGAGGGCAAAGAUCUCUUCUUGCACUAUCUUUAAUCCUGGCGUUGCUACUCUUUAAGCCAGCUCCUAUUUAUAUCUUAGAUGAGGUACAUCUCGAUUUUCCAUUUCCAUGAAUCAUUGCUCUUCCUUUGCAUUUUCAAUACGUAACGACUAAAUUCGUGUUGACAGUGAUCUUGAAAUGUUCACAAUCACAUGAUCUUGUUGAGUUUGAUGACAUAAGAGAAGUCAUGACUUUAUUUUUAUCAGGUUGAUGCAGCUCUUGAUCUAAGCCACACACAGAACAUAGGAAGAAUGAUAAAAUCUCAUUUCCCACAUUCACAGGUCAUAAUUUUACGGAUUUCUCUGAUUGUGUAGUCACCAUGAUUCAAAAAGCUUUAGUUAUCUAUUUAUAUCUCAAACAUUACUGCUGUCUGAUAUGAUUUCUCUUACAGUUCAUUGUGGUUUCACUGAAAGAAGGAAUGUUCAGCAACGCCGAUGUUCUCUUCCGAACAAAAUUCGUGGAUGGUGUUUCAACGGUCCAGAGGACAGUAACAAAACAGAGCUAAUAACCUGCUUAUAUCCUUAACAACACUAAUGAUGUAUAUACUCUUCUUUCCUCAAUCAGGUUGGCUUAUAUGUGUGUUCUACGUAUCUUUUAAGAUCUGUAGCCAAUUAUUUGUUGGUACCUAUUGUCUAUGUCUAGAGACCGAAGCUUAACUUAAACUUUUGUUUUUUUUGUUGCAAAUGUAUUAAGAGAUUGUGAAUCUAAGUUAUGGUGUGCUUAUAUAUAACUGUUGCCACAUGAAUAAUAGAUAUUAAAGAGUACAACAAUGUUGAUUAACUUAGUUCCUCUGUACAUUGAAGAUUCCAAAUUUGUUCAUGGAGCUACAACGGUUCAACAAUAAUUCAAGCUCAAAAACCAAGAACUCUAAGAUGAAACACACUCACAGACAGACAUGAAAGUGAUGGAAGAUAGAUAGGUAUGAGAUCAUAAGUCUGUCUUCACUCUUUAGUUGAAGGUUUGGACAAUAGUGUUGUGCCAUGGGUCAGACAAGUGCUGCAACAGAUUCUCAAAUGGUCCUUUUCCAGUCACAUUGUGUUGAACCACAAACCCUAAGAAUGCCAACAUCGCCAACCUCCCUGCAACAACAACAAAAAUGUCUUUUAAGUCUUUUAACUACAACUAGCAGUUUCUUGCAUAACAAGAAUAGCGGAUUAGUCUAAGCUUACCGUUUGCUAGCUCUUUCUCCUUGGCCUCUUGCGUAGGAGCAAAGUUAAGCGGGUUAAAGAUUCCACCAGGGUAACCAACUUCACCCUUAGGUAAGCUGUAUUGCUUAAAGAUAGGGUCUUGGUUCACACUUCCUGGGUUCUUGAUGUCUUGCCACCGUCUGAUCUCAACGUAAUGAAACAAUAUGAACUCGAUCACGAACAAUGUCGACGACGAUGCAAAAUACUGCUCUUUCCCAGCAUCGUACCACUCAGG